rnacentral:misc_RNA from 1 species
AGUCAUAAACAAUCAUGGCGUCGUGCGGUGCAGCUGGGACCGGCCCCCUCGUCUUGAGGGUGAUUUCAAACACGGUUAAAAUCGUUAACAGCGCUGGAAAAAUAAUCAAGGACAUCAUGAACAGCGGGAAUCUCGGUAUCGUCGAAAAGGAAGGCAUCAACGACCUGCAAACUGAAGCAGACCGCUCCGUCCAGCGCUGCAUCGUGACCUCCCUUUCCCGACAAUUCCCCAAACUGACCAUCAUUGGAGAAGAGACACUAGAGGAGAAGAAAAUUAGUGACGACUGGAUCAUCACUGACCACGACAAAGAUGUCCUGUCAACGACACUGCCAGAUGAACUCAAGAAUGUCAAAGAGGAAGAUCUUGUCGUUUGGGUGGACCCCCUGGAUGGGACUAAGGAGUACACACAAGGCUUUCUGGAUCACGUGACCAUACUGGUUGGGAUCGCGGUGCAGGGUAAGGCAGUCGGCGGUGUCAUUCAUCAGCCUUACUACAACUACCAGGUGAGGAGGAUUCAGGGCCCAAGGGAACGUGAAGCCACCGCACGGGUGGAAAAGGACGUCUACAAGCAAGGACGAACAAUGUGGGGGAUCGUUGGUGUCGGUGCAUUUGGUAUCAAGCGCACACUACCCCCUGCCGGCAAGAGGAUCAUCACCACGACACGUUCCCACUCGAGUCCAGUCAUCAACAGCUGCAUCGAGUCCAUGAAGCCAGAUGAAGUGCUUCGUGUCGGUGGAGCAGGUCACAAGGUGCUGCUCUUGAUUGAAGGCAAGGCGCACGCCUACGUGUUCCCGAGCAAGGGAUGCAAGAAAUGGGACACCUGCGCUCCAGAGGCAAUCCUCCACGCCACUGGAGGUCUCCUGACAGACAUCCACGGCAACCGGCUACAGUACCACAAGGAUGUCGAGCAUGUCAACGGUGGCGGCGUCCUCGCCACCUGCCUCAAGGAGCAGCACGAGUGGUUCAAGAAUCACAUUCCCCCCGAUGUCGCCAAGACACUGCCCGUACCCUCAACACAAUCCUAGCCACUGCCUAUUCCCUACAGGACAACAGGGCUGCACUUAGAGCUCUAGUACCUCUUUUGUUGGCUUAUGUCCCCGGACAGUUUUAUUCUGGAGUCUUGGUUUCUUCGGUUCUUCUAGCUUUGUACCAGUUUCUAGACCGCUUAUUUAGUCUGUUCUUGUGCUUUCGUUGGGAGUGGGGGACAUAUGUGCUGUUCUGUGCACUUGUUAGCUCUUUUUUCUUUCUUCCCAAGCUCACUGUAAGGUCGUAGAACCAGUGUGCUUGGUUUUUGUCCCUACCUCGAGCACUGGUGAAUUUUGGUACGCACAGUUCUGUAGCUAAGACGAGAUAGUUUUUUUAUAUCUGGAAACGUUUACUUAAGGCAAGUCCAAUGCAUUGAAUAUAUUAAAGAAUCAUCAUGUACGGUUUGUUAUGAAUAACAAGUUUUGAGGUACUAAAAGCUAAUAAUGUUAUGUUGAGAAAGGGAAUGAAUAAUUCUAUAAGUACUAUAACCAA